GACAGAGGGUGCAAACGUUGUUCGGAAUUACUGGGCGUAAAGCGCGUGUAGGCGGCCAUCUAAGUCGGGCGUGAAAUCCCACGGCUCAACCGUGGAAGUGCACUCGAAACUGGAUGGCUAGAGUCCUGGAGAGGAAGGUGGAGUGCUUGGUGUAGAGGUGAAAUUCGUAGAUAUCAAGCGGAACACCGGUGGCGAAGGCGGCCUUCUGGACAGUGACUGACGCUGAGACGCGAAAGCGUGGGGAGCAAACAGG
rnacentral:rRNA from 1 species